GUCCACGCCGUAAACGAUGUCGAUUUGGAGGCUGUGUCCUUGAGACGUGGCUUCCGGAGCUAACGCGUUAAAUCGACCGCCUGGGGAGUACGGCCGCAAGGUUAAAACUCAAAUGAAUUGACGGGGCCGCACAAGCGGUGGAGCAUGUGGUUUAAUUCGAUGCAACGCGAAGAACCUUACCUGGCCUUGACAUGUCUGGAAUCCUGUAGAGAUACGGGAGUGCCUUCGGGAAUCAGAACACAGGUGCUGCAUGGCUGUCGU
rnacentral:rRNA from 1 species